AGGGUGACGAGGUGGUGCAUGGUUGUCGUCAGCUCGUGUCGUGAGAUGUGGGUUAAGUCCGCAACGAGCGCAACCCUCGACCUUAGUUGCCAGCAUUCAGUUGGGCACUCUAAGGUGACUGCCGGCUAAAAGUCGGAGGAAGGUGGGGAUGACGUCAAAUCAUCAUGCCCCUUAUGACCUGGGCUACACACGUGCUACAAUGGGCGGUACAAAGGGUCGCGAACCCGCGAGGGGGAGCCAAUCCCAAAAAGCCGCUCUCAGUUCGGAUUGCAGGCUGCAACUCGCCUGCAUGAAGCCGGAAUCGCUAGUAAUCGCGGAUCAGCAUGCCGCGGUGAAUACGUUCCCGGGCCUU
rnacentral:rRNA from 1 species